rnacentral:rRNA from 1 species
ACAGCAGUCGCCACGGGAAUACGAGGGGGGCAAGCGUUGUUCGGAAUUAUUGGGCGUAAAGGGUGCGUAGGCGGUUUGAUAAGUCUGGUGUGAAAUCUAUGGGCUCAACCCAUAGUCUGCACUAGAAACUGUCGGGCUUGAGUAUGGGAGAGGUGAGUGGAAUUUCCGGUGUAGCGGUGAAAUGCGUAGAUAUCGGAAGGAACACCUGUGGCGAAAGCGGCUCACUGGACCAUUACUGACGCUGAUGCACGAAAGCUAGGGGAGCAAACAGGAUUAGAUACCCGAGUAGUCCCUGUCUCUUAUAA